rnacentral:tRNA from 1 species
GCAGCGGUAACCAAGCCAGGUCAAAGGUGAAGGACUCAAGAUCAAGUUUUGCCUGAAUUGGCCUCUAUGAGAUAUCCUUUCCCGUAGGGGUUCGCUGGUUCAAAUCCGGCCCGCUGCA